GAUACAUAUUAAUAAAGCAUAAACCCAACCAAAGUGUACAGUCAAUGUUAUUUGGUAUAAUCACAGAGUUGAUCAUCUGUCAUUUCAAUCAUUAUUAGAGCAAGAGUUCUAGAAUCGGAGGGGAGAUGGGAGAGGCCUGUGGAAGGAUCUGAAGAGUAGCUUCCAUUCCUUGCGGAGAGAAUGGACCUCUCAUCCCCUCUCAUUCCUUCUGUUUCCAACAUGCAAAGAGUGAGCUUCUGUGGUGUUGCUGAAGGACCCUGUAAAUAGACACGUGUCUGCCUGGAUUGUGCUUUUUCCUUAGUUUAGAAUGACCUCUGCUAAUGUUUUGGGACAGGUCCCUCUCUCCCCUGGCACCCAAAAGCCCCUGCCUCUAAGCUGUCCAUGGGAUGAAUGAGGGGGGUCCAGUUUCCCGGCACUGAUGCCCUCUGGAAACCUGGCCGAGGGGAAGGUGCCAGGCGCUGACCUGCUUCACUGGGUUUCAGCUUCUGUUGCUAUCAGUGUUUCAUCUGUCACGUGAGAGUAUCUCCAACCUUCACAUCCUUCUCCUCUGCAGGUUAAUAUGGCUGCAAGGGGGCCCCCUCCUUUCCCAGGACCACCCUCCAUGUACUACCCCAUGGGACGUCCCCCACCACCAGUGCUGAGAUGCCAGCCACCUCCUCCAUCCUGGGGGCCUCUCGGAGGACCUCCCCCACCAGCAUACCCUCCACCAUUCGGACAAUUAUAUUGACCCUUGAAGAGGACCCUCAGCAGUGGUCAGCAGGCUGAGGCCGUUAGCAAGUUAGAAAAGGUGUCAGAGCUGCCUUAAGUUCUGAAAGCUUUCCCUGCCCCAUCCUGCUUUCGCCCUCCUUCAUCUCCUAGGUGUUUUCCCAAUAAACCUCUUGCUAUUAUUCUACCCCCUGUCCAGUGUCUGCUUCCUGGACGACCAACAACCACCCCCCAGGCACUGCACCCCCAAGGGGGGUUAACAUUUCCUUACUAGGAAAAAAGCCAACAGCAAGGUGAUGACACAGAAGCAAGGUUCCCCUCUGGGGCAUUACUGGCUGGGAGGGCCCCAGGGAAGCUUCCUGAGUGGAGGAAACAUCCA
rnacentral:lncRNA from 1 species